CUCACCCCUUUGUGCAUCACCGCGUGGGUCCCCCUUGCGGGAGGGCUCGCGUUUUCACAUAAAACUCGAUACAGUGUAGAAUGUUCUUUUGCGAUCACACGCAAUCAAUACAACUUUCAACAACGGAUCUCUUGGCUCUCGCAUCGAUGAAGAACGCAGCGAAAUGCGAUACGUAAUGUGAAUUGCAGAAUUCAGUGAAUCAUCGAAUCUUUGAACGCACCUUGCGCCCCUUGGCAUUCCGAGGGGCACACCCGUUUGAGUGUCGUGAAAUCCUCAAAAA
rnacentral:misc_RNA from 1 species